rnacentral:rRNA from 1 species
CUCAAGCCUGGCUUGUUAUUGGGUCUAGAUCCCUCUUUUCGAAGAAGGAUCGGCCUGAAAGAUAAUGGCGGUGUCACUAAAUGACUCCUGGUGCAGCGAGCUUUUUUAACUAGCAUACACUGGAAAGUCUUUAAUGAAACCUCGCCUGAAAAUCUCCAUUUUCUUCAAGGUUGACCUCGGAUUAGGUAGGAAUACCCGCUGAACUUAAGCAUAUCAAUAAGCGGAGGAAAAGAAACCAACAGGGAUUGCCUUAGUAACGGCGAGUGAAGCGGCAAUAGCUCAAAUUUGAAAUCUGGCUCUUUCAGAGUCCGAAUUGUAAUUUGUAGAGGAUGUUUCGGGCAAGGUUGCGGUUUAAAUUCCUUGGAACAGGAUGUCAUAGAGGGUGAGAAUCCCGUCUUGAAUCGUAUACUGCGUCUAUGUGAAACUCCUUCGACGAGUCGAGUUGUUUGGGAAUGCAGCUCAAAAUGGGAGGUAAAUUUCUUCUAAAGCUAAAUAUUGGCCAGAGACCGAUAGCGCACAAGUAGAGUGAUCGAAAGAUGAAAAGCACUUUGAAAAGAGAGUUAAACAGUAUGUGAAAUUGUUGAAAGGGAAGCGCUUACAACCAGACUUGUGAAUUGCAGUUCUACCUUGGUUUUCCAUGGCUUAUUCUGUUUUUCCAGGCCAGCAUCAGUUUGGGUGGUUAGUUAAAGGCUUAGGGAAUGUAUCUACUCUUCGGGGUCGACUUAUAGCCCUAGGUGUCAUGUAACCUAC